GACGUAGGGCGCGAGCGUUGUCCGGAAUUAUUGGGCGUAAAGCGCGUGUAGGCGGGUCGGCAAGUCAGGCGUGAAAUCCCCAGGCUCAACCUGGGAACUGCGCUUGAAACUGCCGGUCUUGAGUGUCGGAGAGGGUGGCGGAAUUCCUGGUGUAGAGGUGAAAUUCGUAGAUAUCAGGAGGAACACCGGUGGCGAAGGCGGCCACCUGGACGACAACUGACGCUGAGACGCGAAAGCGUGGGGAGCAAACAGG
rnacentral:rRNA from 1 species